rnacentral:rRNA from 1 species
GACAGAGGAGGCUAGCGUUGUUCGGAAUCACUGGGCUUAAAGCGCGUGUAGGCGGCGGAGCAAGUGUCGUGUGAAAUCCCUCGGCUCAACCGAGGAACUGCACGGCAAACUACUUCGCUUGAGAGCGGUAGAGGUGCCUGGAACUCUCGGUGGAGCGGUGAAAUGCGUUGAUAUCGAGAGGAACGCCGGAAGCGAAAGCGAGGCACUGGGCCGCUUCUGACGCUGAGACGCGAAAGCGUGGGGAG